AAAAAUAUUCUCAUCAAUUUUAUAAUUGAUUUGAGAUUUAUUUGAGAUUUUAAUUCAAUUAGGUUAUUUUUAUUCAUUUUUAAUUGGUUAAAAAUAGUUUCUGACUUUUAAAAAUUCUGAAAUUUUUUGUCAAACUUGGUUUGACCUUGUUGAACUUGGGAUAAAUUGCUUGGACCUUUCAAGGUUGAUUUGAAGCAAUUUUGAAGUUUGACCUUUUCUUUUAUUUUUAAUAUUAAAAAAUACCAAAAAUAUUUUGUUCAUUUCUUGACUUCCAAUCUUC
rnacentral:lncRNA from 1 species